AUUGAACGCUGGCGGCAUGCCUUACACAUGCAAGUCGAACGGUAACAGGUCUUCGGAUGCUGACGAGUGGCGAACGGGUGAGUAAUGCAUCGGAACGUGCCCAGUAGUGGGGAUAGCCCGGCGAAAGCCGGAUUAAUACCGCAUACGACCUGAGGGUGAAAGGGGGGGAUCGCAAGACCUCUCGCUAUUGGAGCGGCCGAUGUCAGAUUAGCUAGUUGGUGGGGUAAAGGCCUACCAAGGCAACGAUCUGUAGUUGGUCUGAGAGGACGACCAGCCGCACUGGGACUGAGACACGGCCCAGACUCCUACGGGAGGCAGCAGUGGGGAAUUUUGGACAAUGGGCGCAAGCCUGAUCCAGCAAUGCCGCGUGCAGGAAGAAGGCCUUCGGGUUGUAAACUGCUUUUGUCAGGGAAGAAAUCUUCUGGGUUAAUACCUCGGGAGGAUGACGGUACCUGAAGAAUAAGCACCGGCUAACUACGUGCCAGCCGCCGCGGUAACAC
rnacentral:rRNA from 1 species